rnacentral:rRNA from 1 species
CAUUAUCGAAUUUCGAGGGGGGGAAGAUGGAGGGGGAGACUGUCGCUGGCUUUCGCCGUGCACGUCUUCCUUUUCGUCGACCUUUCUCUUACUCUCACACCUGUGCACACAUUGUAGGUCCUCGAAAGAGGAUCUAUGUUUUCAUCAUCACACACACUGUAUGUCUAGAAUGUAUUACGAUCGUCGACCGGCCUUGCGGUCGGGUGGCGGUCAAAUAAAUAAAUACAACUUUCAGCAACGGAUCUCUUGGCUCUCGCAUCGAUGAAGAACGCAGCGAAUUGCGAUAAGUAAUGUGAAUUGCAGAUUUUCAGUGAAUCAUCGAAUCUUUGAACGCACCUUGCGCUCCUUGGUAUUCCGAGGAGCAUGCCUGUUUGAGUGUCAUGUAAUUCUCAACCAUGUCUUGAUUGAUUUCGAGGCAUGGCUUGGACUUGGGGGCUGCUGGCGGCGAAAGCUGUCGGCUCUCCUGAAAUGCAUUAGCAACGGACAGCGAUGUCUGACGUGCACGGCCUUGACGUGAUAAUGAUCGUCGUCGCUGGAGCGUCGGACGCGCACACAAGUCCUCUUGCUUCGAAUCCUUUUGACUUGAGACUUGGACUUUCGAGCGAAGCGUCAGCUACUAGUCGGUCGUGAGGCCGGCGAACGCAGGCUUGCUCGGAGGUCGGAGUCCCUCGUCUUCCUUGACGACUUGACCUCAAAUCAGGUAGGACUACCC